AUUUUUUUCGAUUCUCUUUACAUUUUUAUUUUGCUUUUCACGAGCCGCUGACACGGGGGCAGCGGGCCGGCGGCGGCAACAUUUGUCGCACACAUUUUUCACAUAUUCAAAUGCGACAACAACAACAAUAACUCGAACAACAACAACAACAACAACACGAAUUCCACACGACAACGAAUCUGUGUGCGAGAGGCCAAAGACGACAACGUGCACAGGCUGAGUUUUUCGUGAGCACACAAGGCACAGAAACUCACAAAAAAAAAAAAACUCAAAUAUAAUAAAAAAUAACGGGAAAAAUGGGCCGAAAAUAAUUACGAAAAUCGACGAAGAAAACGCACUGGAAAAACUGCUGACGAUUUGCGAUUGUGUGUGGGGCAAGUGUGAAGCGUUCACCGGCGUGCGCGUUACUGAAGAUCGGCAUCGACAGCGGCAGCGGCAGCGACGGCGACGGCAGCGGCUGCUGGGGCAGCGGCGGCAACUGCGACGCCGACUGCGACGUCGACUGCGACAGCGAACGGGUACGGAACUGGCAGGCAGAGCAGGAGACGGCGACGUUUUUGAGCAAAUCCAGCGCAUAUUGCUCUGUGUGUGUGUGUGCGUGUGUGUGUGUGUCAGCCAACGUCAACGGCCAACGGCCUGAGAAACCAGCCAAAAGUGCUCCGCAGCGCGUUUAUGCGGGCCACGUUUGUGCGAUCGAGAAGAGAUCAGGAAAAUUCAAAAGAUUUGCAGGAAAUUUAUGAUAUAUUGAAAUAUUCUUGCAAUUUUUUGCUUGUUUAGUCUUGUUUGGAAAUUAAUACCCUUGUAAACAGUUGCCUUGCGAGCACGAUGAAAAUAACAUGGAAAACUCAAAUUGGGUGUCGAAGCUAUUCUUUAAUAAACAAGUGAAUGCCCAUUGGGUUAGCUUUUCGCGAUUUGCCAGCACGCACAAACGAAGGCGGGCAACGAGAACAGAUUGCGACCAGCCUUGUCCACCUGUCUCGAAUUGCAGUACAGCUGCAUUGGGGCUAAAGGCCUCGGCCUUGUCGAAACUUGACCAUAAAAUUUAAAGUGAAAUAUAUAAAAUAAUAAAUC